CAAGUCGAACGGUAGCACAGAGAGCACGCUGGCGGCAGGCCUAACACAUGCAAGUCGAACGGUAACAGGAAGCAGCUUGCUGCUUCGCUGACGAGUGGCGGACGGGUGAGUAAUGUCUGGGAAACUGCCUGAUGGAGGGGGAUAACUACUGGAAACGGUGGCUAAUACCGCAUAACGUCGCAAGACCAAAGAGGGGGACCUUCGGGCCUCUUGCCAUCAGAUGUGCCCAGAUGGGAUUAGCUUGUUGGUGAGGUAACGGCUCACCAAGGCGACGAUCCCUAGCUGGUCUGAGAGGAUGACCAGCCACACUGGAACUGAGACACGGUCCAGACUCCUACGGGAGGCAGCAGUGGGGAAUAUUGCACAAUGGGCGCAAGCCUGAUGCAGCCAUGCCGCGUGUAUGAAGAAGGCCUUCGGGUUGUAAAGUACUUUCAGCGGGGAGGAAGGUGUUGUGGUUAAUAACCGCAGCAAUUGACGUUACCCGCAGAAGAAGCACCGGCUAACUCCGUGCCAGCAGCCGCGGUAAUACGGAGGGUGCAAGCGUUAAUCGGAAUUACUGGGCGUAAAGCGCACGCAGGCGGUCUGUCAAGUCGGAUGUGAAAUCCCCGGGCUCAACCUGGGAACUGCAUUCGAAACUGGCAGGCUUGAGUCUUGUAGAGGGGGGUAGAAUUCCAGGUGUAGCGGUGAAAUGCGUAGAGAUCUGGAGGAAUACCGGUGGCGAAGGCGGCCCCCUGGACAAAGACUGACGCUCAGGUGCGAAAGCGUGGGGAGCAAACAGGAUUAGAUACCCUGGUAGUCCACGCCGUAAACGAUGUCUACUUGGAGGUUGUGCCCUUGAGGCGUGGCUUCCGGAGCUAACGCGUUAAGUAGACCGCCUGGGGAGUACGGCCGCAAGGUUAAAACUCAAAUGAAUUGACGGGGGCCCGCACAAGCGGUGGAGCAUGUGGUUUAAUUCGAUGCAACGCGAAGAACCUUACCUGGUCUUGACAUCCACGGAAGUUUUCAGAGAUGAGAAUGUGCCUUCGGGAACCGUGAGACAGGUGCUGCAUGGCUGUCGUCAGCUCGUGUUGUGAAAUGUUGGGUUAAGUCCCGCAACGAGCGCAACCCUUAUCCUUUGUUGCCAGCG
rnacentral:rRNA from 1 species